UCAUAAACCGAAUGACACGUUAUGUCAUAAAUGUUUAUAACUUGUUUAUAACGUUUAUGAAACAUUCAUGACAGUGUCUUGUCACUCUUAUGUAGAUACCUUCAAGUAAAGGGUAAUC